ACGCUCGACACCUACAGGAGGCAGCAGUGGGGAAUAUUGCACAAUGGGGGAAACCCUGAUGCAGCAACGCCGCGUGAGUGAAGAAGUAUUUCGGUAUGUAAAGCUCUAUCAGCAGGGAAGAAAAUGACAGUACCUGACUAAGAAGCCCCGGCUAACUACGUGCCAGCAGCCGCGGUAAUCUGAGCGGGCUGGCAAGGC
rnacentral:rRNA from 1 species